UUACGGCCAUAUCACGUUGAAACACUGGUUCUCGUAUGAUCACCAAAGUUAAGCAACGUCGAACCUGGUCAGUACCAAGGUGGGUGACGGCUUGGGAAUACUAAGU